GCGGAUGUGGCGGAAUUGGCAGACGCGCUAGACUUAGGAUCUAGUGUCUUAUGACGUGGGGGUUCAAGUCCGGCCCUCGGCACCA
rnacentral:tRNA from 1 species